GGGAUGUGUCAGAAGCCAGCAUGUGAAUUCCUGCAGAUGUGAGAAGGGGAAGUUCCAGCAGCCAAAGGAGAUUUCUCCUGAACUGGACGAGCAAGUCAGCAAUUUCUCCCAGAAAACUUUUGUGCUAUCUGAGACUCUGAGGAAGUUCAAAAACACUCUGGAGACACGAAUUGAGGAAUCCCUAGAAGCACACAGACAGGGUGAGUUUGCAGCUGGAGAUUGUCUUUACAUUAUGAGAAAAUGCCAGUGAAAACAUCUUCAUGAGAUUGUAACUAAAGUUACCAACAAAAUCAACACACACACAGCCCU